rnacentral:rRNA from 1 species
UUUCCGGUUGAUCCUGCCGGAGGCCACUGCUAUGGGGGUCCGACUAAGCCAUGCGAGUCAUGGGGCGCCUUGCGCGCACCGGCGGACGGCUCAGUAACACGUCGGUAACCUACCCUCGGGAGGGGGAUAACCCCGGGAAACUGGGGCUAAUCCCCCAUAGGCCUGAGGUACUGGAAGGUCCUCAGGCCGAAAGGGCGUAUGCCGCCCGAAGAUGGGCCGGCGGCCGAUUAAGUAGUUGGUGGGGUAACGGCCCACCAAGCCGAAGAUCGGUACGGGCCAUGAGAGUGGGAGCCCGGAGAUGGACACUGAGACACGGGUCCAGGCCCUACGGGGCGCAGCAGGCGCGAAACCUCCGCAAUGCGGGCAACCGCGACGGGGGGACCCCCAGUGCCGUGGCAACGCCACGGCUUUUCCGGAGUGUAAAAAGCUCCGGGAAUAAGGGCUGGGCAAGGCCGGUGGCAGCCGCCGCGGUAAUACCGGCGGCCCGAGUGGUGGCCGCUAUUAUUGGGCCUAAAGCGUCCGUAGCCGGGCCCGUAAGUCCCUGGCGAAAUCCCACGGCUCAACCGUGGGGCUUGCUGGGGAUACUGCGGGCCUUGGGACCGGGAGAGGCCGGGGGUACCCCUGGGGUAGGGGUGAAAUCCUAUAAUCCCAGGGGGACCGCCAGUGGCGAAGGCGCCCCGCUGGAACGGGUCCGACGGUGAGGGACGAAGGCCAGGGGAGCGAACCGGAUUAGAUACCCGGGUAGUCCUGGCUGUAAAGGAUGCGGGCUAGGUGUCGGGCGAGCUUCGAGCUCGCCCGGUGCCGAAGGGAAGCCGUUAAGCCCGCCGCCUGGGGAGUACGGCCGCAAGGCUGAAACUUAAAGGAAUUGGCGGGGGAGCACUACAAGGGGUGGAGCGUGCGGUUUAAUUGGAUUCAACGCCGGAA